rnacentral:rRNA from 1 species
UUGCCUCUGAAGGAGGGGAAUAUUGUUGUAUGUAUUACUCCUUGGACUGCUUCUAUUGGGGCAAAAGGUGUUAUGGAAAAAGCAUGGAUUAGGAUACACAACAUUCCCAUAGAGAAAAGAUGCAAUGAACAUAUAGCUUAUGCUGGAGCUCUAGUUGGGAUUACUUUGGAAGUUGAUGAAUCGACUGUUCAUAAACCUGAAUAUGCUAGAAUCCUUCUCGGUUGUAGAGAG